CGGUUUCUUUACACAUGCAAGUCGUAACGCUGAAGCCUUGGUGCUUGCACUGGGGUGGGAUGAGGUGGCGAACGGGAUGAGGUAAUACGUGAGUAACCUGCCCUUGACUCUGGGAUAAGCCUGGGAAACUGGGUCUAAUACUGGAUACGACAUGUCACCGCAUGGUGGUGUGUGGAAAGGGUUUUACUGGUUUUGGAUGGGCUCACGGCCUAUCAGCUUGUUGGUGGGGUAAUGGCUCACCAAGGCGACGACGGGUAGCCGGCCUGAGAGGGUGACCGGCCACACUGGGACUGAGACACGGCCCAGACUCCUACGGGAGGCAGCAGUGGGGAAUAUUGCACAAUGGGCGGAAGCCUGAUGCAGCGACGCCGCGUGAGGGAUGACGGCCUUCGGGUUGUAAACCUCUUUCAGCACGGAAGAAGCGAAAGUGACGGUACGUGCAGAAGAAGCGCCGGCUAACUACGUGCCAGCAGCCGCGAUAAUACGUAGGGCGCAAGCGUUGUCCGGAAUUAUUGGGCGUAAAGAGCUCGUAGGCGGUUUGUCGCGUCUGCUGUGAAAGCCCGGGGCUUAACCCCGGGUGUGCAGUGGGUACGGGCAGACUUGAGUGCAGUAGGGGAGACUGGAAUUUCCUGGUGUAGCGGUGAAAUGCGCAGAUAUCAGGAGGAACACCGAUGGCGAAGGCAGGUCUCUGGGCUGUUACUGACGCUGAGGAGCCGAAAACAUGGGGAGCGAACAGGAUUAGAUACCCCUGGUAGUCCAUGCCGUAAAACGUUGGGGCACUAGG
rnacentral:rRNA from 1 species